rfam:Omnitrophica WOR_2 bacterium GWA2_47_8 gwa2_scaffold_1284, whole genome shotgun sequence.
AAAACCUUUAAAUUGAUCCAGCGAGAUCAAUAAGGAGUAAAAAUUGAAACAAAGAAUUUUGUUAGAUUUUACACGUAUAAUAACUCGUUCCGAGUUCGGGACGAGUUUUUUAUU